rnacentral:rRNA from 1 species
UACAGAGGGUGCGAGCGUUGUCCGGAAUCACUGGGCGUAAAGGGCGCGUAGGUGGCGCUGCAAGUCGGUGGUGAAAGCUCGAUGCUUAACAUCGAGUCGGCCAUCGAAACUGCAGGGCUCGAGCACUGUAGGGGCAGAUGGAAUUCCGGGUGUAGCGGUGGAAUGCGUAGAGAUCCGGAAGAACACCGGUGGCGAAGGCGGUCUGCUGGGCAGUUGCUGACACUGAGGCGCGAAAGCGUGGGGAGCAAACAGG